rnacentral:rRNA from 1 species
UCGUCACGUACUCAUAUACAUGCAGUCGAGCGAACAGAUGAGAAGCUUGCUUCUCUGAUGUUAGCGGCGGACGGGUGAGUAACACGUGGGUAACCUACCUAUAAGACUGGGAUAACUCCGGGAAACCGGGGCUAAUACCGGAUAAUAUUUUGAACCGCAUGGUUCAAUAGUGAAAGACGGUUUCGGCUGUCACUUAUAGAUGGACCCGCGCCGUAUUAGCUAGUUGGUAAGGUAACGGCUUACCAAGGCGACGAUACGUAGCCGACCUGAGAGGGUGAUCGGCCACACUGGAACUGAGACACGGUCCAGACUCCUACGGGAGGCAGCAGUAGGGAAUCUUCCGCAAUGGGCGAAAGCCUGACGGAGCAACGCCGCGUGAGUGAUGAAGGUCUUCGGAUCGUAAAACUCUGUUGUUAGGGAAGAACAAAUUUGUUAGUAACUGAACAAGUCUUGACGGUACCUAACCAGAAAGCCACGGCUAACUACGUGCCAGCAGCCGCGGUAAUACGUAGGUGGCAAGCGUUAUCCGGAAUUAUUGGGGCGUAAAGCGCGCGUAGGCGGUUUCUUAAGUCUGAUGUGAAAAGCCCACGGCUCAAACCGUGGAGGGUCAUUUGGAAACUGGGAAACUUUGAGUGCAGAAAGAGGGAGAGUGGAAAUUCCAUGUGUAAGCGGUGAAAAUGCGCAGAGAUAUGGAGGAACACCAGUGGGCGAAAGCGGGCUCUCUGGUCUGUACUGGACGCCUGAUGUGCGGAAAGCGUGGGGA